rnacentral:rRNA from 1 species
GCAUAUCAAUAAGCGGAGGAAAAGAAACCAACAGGGAUUGCCCUAGUAACGGCGAGUGAAGCGGCAACAGCUCAAAUUUGAAAUCUGGCUUCGGCCCGAGUUGUAAUUUGCAGAGGAAGCUUUAGGCGCGGCACCUUCUGAGUCCCCUGGAACGGGGCGCCAUAGAGGGUGAGAGCCCCGUAUAGUUGGAUGCCUAGCCUGUGUAAAGCUCCUUCGACGAGUCGAGUAGUUUGGGAAUGCUGCUCAAAAUGGGAGGUAAAUUUCUUCUAAAGCUAAAUACCGGCCAGAGACCGAUAGCGCACAAGUAGAGUGAUCGAAAGAUGAAAAGCACUUUGAAAAGAGGGUUAAAUAGCACGUGAAAUUGUUGAAAGGGAAGCGCUUGUGACCAGACUUGCGCCGGGCGGAUCAUCCGGUGUUCUCACCGGUGCACUCCGCCCGGCUCAGGCCAGCAUCGGUUCUCGCGGGGGGAUAAAGGUCCUGGGAACGUAGCUCCUCCGGGAGUGUUAUAGCCCGGGGCGUAAUGCCCUCGCGGGGACCGAGGUUCGCGCAUCUGCAAGGAUGCUGGCGUAAUGGUCAUCAGCGACCCGUCUUGAAACACGGACCAAGGAGUCAAGGUUUUGCGCGAGUGUUUGGGUGUAAAACCCGCACGCGUAAUGAAAGUGAACGUAGGUGAGAGCUUCGGCGCAUCAUCGACCGAUCCUGAUGUUUUCGGAUGGAUUUGAGUAGGAGCGUUAAGCCUUGGACCCGAAAGAUGGUGAACUAUGCUUGGAUAGGGUGAAGCCAGAGGAAACUCUGGUGGAGGCUCGCAGCGGUUCUGACGUGCAAAUCGAUCGUCAAAUCUGAGCAUGGGGGCGAAAGACUAAUCGAACCAUCUAGUAGCUGGUUACCGCCGA